GGAUAACCUGCCCUAAGGUGGAGGAUAACCCCGGGAAACUGGGGAUAAUACUCCAUAGAUUAGAGAUACUGGAAUGUUCUUUAGUCGAAAGUUCCGGCGCCUUAGGAUGGAUCUGCGGUCGAUUAGGUUGUUGUUGGGGUAACGGCCCAACAAGCCUGUAAUCGGUACGGGUUGUGGGAGCAAGAGCCCGGAGAUGGACUCUGAGACACGAGUCCAGGCCCUACGGGGCGCAGCAGGCGCGAAAACUUUACAAUGCGGGAAACCGUGAUAAGGGAACCCCGAGUGCCCGUACACGCGGGCUGUUAAGGUGUUUAAAACGCAUCUCGAGAAAGGGCCGGGCAAGACCGGUGCCAGCCGCCGCGGUAAUACCGGCGGCUCGAGUGGUGACCACUAUUAUUGGGCUUAAAGCGUCCGUAGCUGGACUGUUAAGUCCCUUGGGAAAUCCGCCGGCUUAACCGGCGGGCGUCUAAGGGAUACUGGCGGUCUAGGGACCGGAAGAGGUGAGAGGUACUCCGGGGGUAGGAGUGAAAUCCUGUAAUCCUCGGGGGACCACCUGUGGCGAAGGCGUCUCACCAGGACGGCUCCGACAGUGAGGGACGAAAGCUGGGGGAGCAAACCGGAUUAGAUACCCGGGUAGUCCCAGCCGUAAACGAUGCGCGUUAGGUGUAUCGGUGACCACGAGUUACCGAGGUGCCGAAGGGAAACCGUGAAACGUGCCGCCUGGGAAGUACGGUCGCAAGGCUGAAACUUAA
rnacentral:rRNA from 1 species